GCGCGCUACACUGAUGUGUUCAAUGAGUUUUUUCCUUGCCUGGAAAGGUUGGGUAAUCUGUUUAAAAUGCAUCGUGAUGGGGAUUGAUUAUUGCAAUUAUUGAUCUUAAACGAGGAAUUCCUAGUAAGCCUGAGUCAUCAGCUUGUGCUGAUUACGUCCCUGCCCUUUGUACACA
rnacentral:rRNA from 1 species